rnacentral:lncRNA from 1 species
ACAGAGCCAUAUGUUUAAAGAACUUGUCCAGGAGAUCUUCAGAAGGCCAGGCUAAAUGACUAACUGCUGUCUUUAUCCCUUGGGCCUUUAGAUCUCCAAAAGCUGUUAUGGGAAGUCAGAUGACAAUGCAGACUAGGAUAUGUGUUGAUUUUGUACUUACUUUUUUUACUUACUUAUUGCACACUGUAUACAAUAUCUUGGAAAAUAAGACAAGCCUUUUAUUUGUACUGAGAAAUCCUAACACUAAUUAUGCUAAACUAUUACAGAUAUGGCCAUGGGUUGAACUACUGUGAUAUGUUUUAGCAAGUGUGUGCUUAGAUAAUUUUGUUGUUUAGAAUCGGAGUGAACAUAUCACUAACAUUAAGCUUAGGUCAAUCAUUCUAUAUGGCCUUGCGAUUCAAGAAAGAAGUGGGGAAAACAUGAGACAUUUCUGACUAAUGCAGAUAUUUCAUAGUGUACCAUUUUGUAAUAAGAGUAUUCUCUAACAAUAAAAACUAUUAACUUAUCAGCAUAAAAUAUUAUUUCUUGGGAAUAAUUACAUAUGGUAAACUUUUAUGACAGGCAGGAAGUGCAUUGAGCGUGACAUCAUCAGCACCACAUACAACUGAGUAAUAUAUUGUACUAGAGCAUUGUAGUAACUAUGUCCAAUGGGUGAUAGCAAUUUUUCAACUCCAAUUAUAAUCUUUUGGAACUACUAUUCCAUAUGCUGUCAGCCAUUAACUACAUCAUUAUGUGGAGAAUGAUUAUAUUAUUAAACAGGAUGAAGCAAUAGUAUUGAGGUAGGGCAUGUUGACUCUGCUUUGGCUAUUGUGAAUUACUGUGGUACAUGUGGGAAUGGAUAUCUUUGACACGGUGCUUUCAUUCUGUUGGAUAUAUAUCCAGUGAUGGCAUUACUGAGCUAAUAGAACU